UUUAAGUCAAUUUCCAUUCAUGUGGGGGAUUGUUGGGAUAUUUAUAGGUGAAUGGAAAUUAAGACAUACCGUUUCAAUUAGACAGAACUCUUCCUAAUGGACACAACUUGUGUCAAAGGAUAUGUCAAGUAUUUAAGACACGUCUCUUCUAAGAGUCACCAAAAAACCUAUAAAUACCCCCCCCCCCUCCCCCCUCCCCCCUCAUGACAUUUCUGAUUCAUUCCAUCAUCAAUUCUCUCCACUUCUUCUCCUUUCUUCCAAGUGCUUGGUAUUCAAGAGAGUUCAAGUUAUCAAGUGAUUAGUUCUUUCUUGUGAUUUGGAGUGCUACUAUCACAAGAAAGUGAUCAUUGAAUCCUGGAAGACGAUUGUCAACAAACUGUAAGCACCAGUGCGGGGCAAAUUCGUCUUAAGGACAUAGAGUUAAACUCUAGCCUCGAUCAACCCUUUGUAAGAUUCAAUAUUUACUUACCUUCUCGUUUAUUUAUUAUACAUAAUUAUUUGACCAUACAUUUGUGAUAAUUCUAGAAUAACAAAUAUAACAUAAGCGCACAAAAACAUAUACUUCUAUAAAAAUAGUAAAUCAAACUAAGUAUAAAUAUAUUUGAUAUUUCAUGUGUAUCUUACCUUUAUCUUUGAAGCUACAAUGGUUCUUUGCCAUAGGCCCCAAGCCUUGGUGGUCUUCUUGUUUUUCCUUAAAUAAAAAUUAUACUUCAUGCA
rnacentral:lncRNA from 1 species